GAUGAAGAACGCAGUGAAAUGCGAUAAGUAGUGUGAAUUGCAGAAUUCAGUGAAUCAUCGAAUCUUUGAACGCACAAUGCGCCUCCUGGUAUUCCGGGAGGCAUGCCUGUUCGAGCGUCAUUAAAAUCACUCAAGCUUAGGUUUACCUAUUGCUUGGUCUUGGAGAUGGAAGCCAAUUUAUUGGAAUCCUCUUCGAAAUUCAAUGGCGAAGACCCUUGCUCUCCCAAGUGUAGUAAUAACUUAUGUCACUGAAGGAAGCGAGAAAUCUUCUGCCGUAACCCCCAUAUUUUCUAUGAUUGACCUCGGAUCAGGUAGGGAUACCCGCUGAACUUAAGCAUAUCAAUAAGCGGAGGA
rnacentral:misc_RNA from 1 species